UACGUAGGGGGCAAGCGUUGUCCGGAUUUAUUGGGCGUAAAGAGCGUGUAGGCGGCCAGGGAGGUCCGUUGUGAAAACUCGAGGCUCAACCUCGAGACGCCGAUGGAAACCCCCUGGCUAGAGUCCGGAAGAGGAGAAUGGAAUUCCUGGUGUAGCGGUGAAAUGCGCAGAUAUCAGGAAGAGCACCCGUGGCUAAGGCGGUUCUCUAGUACGGUACUGACGCUGAGACGCGAAAGCGUGGGGAGCGAACAGG
rnacentral:rRNA from 1 species